GAUGAACGCUGGCGGCGUGCCUAAUACAUGCAAGUCGAGCGAACAGACGAGGAGCUUGCUCCUCUGACGUUAGCGGCGGACGGGUGAGUAACACGUGGAUAACCUACCUAUAAGACUGGGAUAACUUCGGGAAACCGGAGCUAAUACCGGAUAAUAUAUUGAACCGCAUGGUUCAAUAGUGAAAGACGGUUUUGCUGUCACUUAUAGAUGGAUCCGCGCCGCAUUAGCUAGUUGGUAAGGUAACGGCUUACCAAGGCAACGAUGCGUAGCCGACCGGAGAGGGUGACCGGCCACACUGGAACUGAGACACGGUCCAGACUCCUACGGGAGUCAGCAGUAGGGAAUCUUCCGCAAUGGGCGAAAGCCUGACGGAGCAACGCCGCGUGAGUGAGGAAGGUCUUCGGAUCGUAAAACUCUGUUAUUAGGGAAGAACAAAUGUGUAAGUAACUAUGCACGUCUUGACGGUACCUAAUCAGAAAGCCACGGCUAACUACGUG
rnacentral:rRNA from 1 species